rnacentral:tRNA from 1 species
GCUUGAAUAGCUCAGUUGGUAGAGCAACGGUCUUGUAAACCGUAGGUCGUCAGUUCGACUCUGACUUCAAGCU